AAUGAAAAGGCAAUGAUGCUCACUUUCCAAGCACAUAUCUGAUACUGUAUGCUGUGGAAUAUCCUGUGGCUGAGUCUUUUUU